rnacentral:lncRNA from 1 species
AUGACCUUCUCCACUGCUAUAUCUUCAUCGUCUGCCUUAAUAUUCAAGGAUUCUCUAUCCAAACGCACCAUUAGAUCUUCAUUCAACAAACCCAAUUCCCAUAUCUGAGACUCACGUCAAGCAAUUUGGUUGUCACGCUCCUCCAACAUCUUCUACCAUUCUUCUGUCGAUUUCAAAGGUAUCUUCAAAGGUGUUGUCGCUGAAACUAGUGUAUUGGUCCACACUAAAUUAUUGGCCUUCUUUGCUAAUGCGGCUAGUUUAAUCUACAACAUUGCAACCUCUACCUAUAUCUGUUCUUGUCAUUCAUUCCAAUCGGUCUCCAUCCUUGCUUUCUCAGACACCAUGUUUAUCAUCUUCUCCUUAAUCACAAAAAAAAACACAAUGCUUGUCAAGAAUCUCCCUCCUUCUUCUUACUGUGGUCCAAUUAAUUGGAUCGACUCCCCCUUUUGUAAUAGAAAACCCGUCCCGGGUUUAUGUAUAGUAAAGUUUAAGUCGAUUACCAUUAAUCCAUGUCAUAAAUUUAGUAUCCAUAAAAUCUUCCAAUUGUACUAAACCAUUUGGAAAUCCGUCAAUAACUUGAUAUGGCUUAUGCCAUUGAACUUGAAAUUUUCUUGGAAAAUUUUUAAAUCGAGUAUUAUAAAGUAGUACCAAAUCAUUUGGCAUAAAAGCCUUUGAUCUAAGCUUACUAUCAUAAUAAGUCUUCCUUCGUUUUUGAAUAGUUUCCAUUAUCAUUAAUGCAUUGACUCUAGUUUCAUCCAAUUUUUCAAAUUCUUCUAAAUGGUGCCAUAAUGAAUCUUGAUCUUCUAAUCUAUUAUCUAUAGCAAUUCGUAAACUUUGGACUUCCAAUUCAAUAGGUAAUAUUG